GACGGAAAGUGCAAGCGUUGCUCGGAAUCACUGGGCGUAAAGGGUGCGUAGGCGGCUUGGUAAGUUGGGUGUGAAAGCCCCGGGCUCAGCCCGGGAAGGGCACUCGAAACUGCCGAGCUGGAGUGCCGGAGGGGAGAGUGGAAUUCCUGGUGUAGCGGUGAAAUGCGUAGAUAUCAGGAGGAAUACCGGUGGCGAAAGCGACUCUCUGGACGGCAACUGACGCUGAGGCACGAAAGCGUGGGGAGCAAACAGG
rnacentral:rRNA from 1 species